UGGGGAAUCUUGCGCAAUGGACGAAAGUCUGACGCAGCGACGCCGCGUGGGGGAUGAAGGGUUUCGGCUUGUAAACCCCUGUUGCCCGGGACGAAACGCCACUUUCGAGUGGCUUGACGGUACCGGGUGAGGAAGCACCGGCUAACUCCGUGCCAGCAGCCGCGGUAAUACGGAGGGUGCGAGCGUUGUCCGGAAUCACUGGGCGUAAAGGGCGCGUAGGUGGCGACCCAAGUCAACGGUGAAAGCUCGACGCUCAACGUCGAGUCGGCCGUCGAUACUGGGUUGCUCGAGCACUGUAGAGGCUAAUGGAAUUCCGGGUGUAGCGGUGGAAUGCGUAGAGAUCCGGAAGAACACCGGUGGCGAAGGCGGUUAGCUGGGCAGUUGCUGACACUGAGGCGCGACAGCGUGGGGAGCAAACAGG
rnacentral:rRNA from 1 species